AUUGAACGCUGGCGGCAUGCCUUACACAUGCAAGUCGAACGGUAACAGGUUAAGCUGACGAGUGGCGAACGGGUGAGUAAUAUAUCGGAACGUGCCCAGUCGUGGGGGAUAGCUGCUCGAAAGAGCAGCUAAUACCGCAUACGACCUGAGGGUGAAAGCGGGGGAUCGCAAGACCUCGCGCGAUUGGAGCGGCCGAUAUCAGAUUAGGUAGUUGGUGGGGUAAAGGCCCACCAAGCCAACGAUCUGUAGCUGGUCUGAGAGGACGACCAGCCACACUGGGACUGAGACACGGCCCAGACUCCUACGGGAGGCAGCAGUGGGGAAUUUUGGACAAUGGGCGCAAGCCUGAUCCAGCCAUGCCGCGUGCGGGAAGAAGGCCUUCGGGUUGUAAACCGCUUUUGUCAGGGAAGAAAAGGCUUCUGCUAAUACCGGAGGCUCAUGACGGUACCUGAAGAAUAAGCACCGGCUAACUACGUGCCAGCAGCCGCCGUAACAC
rnacentral:rRNA from 1 species